rnacentral:rRNA from 1 species
UUAAGCGACUAAGCGUACACGGUGGAUGCCCUGGCAGUCAGAGGCGAUGAAGGACGUGCUAAUCUGCGAAAAGCGUCGGUAAGGUGAUAUGAACCGUUAUAGCCGGCGAUGUCCGAAUGGGGAAACCCAGUGCAAUUCGUUGCACUAUCGUUAACUGAAUACAUAGGUUAACGAGGCGAACCGGGGGAACUGAAACAUCUAAGUACCCCGAGGAAAAGAAAUCAACCGAGAUUCCCCCAGUAGCGGCGAGCGAACGGGGAGCAGCCCAGAGUCUGAAUCAGCUUGUGUGUUAGUGGAACGGUCUGGAAAGUCCGACGGUACAGGGUGAUAGUCCCGUACACCAAAAUGCACAGGCUGUGAACUCGAAGAGUAGGGCGGGACACGUGGUAUCCUGUCUGAAUAUGGGGGGACCAUCCUCCAAGGCUAAAUACUCCUGACUGACCGAUAGUGAACCAGUACCGUGAGGGAAAGGCGAAAAGAACCCCGGCGAGGGGAGUGAAAAAGAACCUGAAACCGUGUACGUACAAGCAGUGGGAGCACCUUCGGGUGUGACUGCGUACCUUUUGUAUAAUGGGUCAGCGACUUAUAUUCUGUAGCAAGGUUAACCGUAUAGGGGAGCCGCAGGGAAACCGAGUCUUAACUGGGCGUUAAGUUGCAGGGUAUAGACCCGAAACCCGGUGAUCUAGCCAUGGGCAGGUUGAAGGUUGGGUAACACUAACUGGAGGACCGAACCGACUAAUGUUGAAAAAUUAGCGGAUGACUUGUGGCUGGGGGUGAAAGGCCAAUCAAACCGGGAGAUAGCUGGUUCUCCCCGAAAGCUAUUUAGGUAGCGCCUCGUGAACUCAUCUUCGGGGGUAGAGCACUGUUUCGGCUAGGGGGUCAUCCCGACUUACCAACCCGAUGCAAACUACGAAUACCGAAGAAUGUUAUCACGGGAGACACACGGCGGGUGCUAACGUCCGUCGUGAAGAGGGAAACAACCCAGACCGCCAGCUAAGGUCCCAAAGUCAUGGUUAAGUGGGAAACGAUGUGGGAAGGCACAGACAGCCAGGAUGUUGGCUUAGAAGCAGCCAUCAUUUAAAGAAAGCGUAAUAGCUCACUGGUCGAGUCGGCCUGCGCGGAAGAUGUAACGGGGCUAAACCAUGCACCGAAGCUGCGGCAGCGACACUAUGUGUUGUUGGGUAGGGGAGCGUUCUGUAAGCCUGCGAAGGUGUGCUGUGAGGCAUGCUGGAGGUAUCAGAAGUGCGAAUGCUGACAUAAGUAACGAUAAAGCGGGUGAAAAGCCCGCUCGCCGGAAGACCAAGGGUUCCUGUCCAACGUUAAUCGGGGCAGGGUGAGUCGACCCCUAAGGCGAGGCCGAAAGGCGUAGUCGAUGGGAAACAGGUUAAUAUUCCUGUACUUGGUGUUACUGCGAAGGGGGGACGGAGAAGGCUAUGUUAGCCGGGCGACGGUUGUCCCGGUUUAAGCAUGUAGGCUGGUUAUCCAGGCAAAUCCGGAUAAUCAAGGCUGAGGUGUGAUGACGAGGCACUACGGUGCUGAAGUAACAAAUGCCCUGCUUCCAGGAAAAGCCUCUAAGCAUCAGGUAACAUCAAAUCGUACCCCAAACCGACACAGGUGGUCAGGUAGAGAAUACCAAGGCGCUUGAGAGAACUCGGGUGAAGGAACUAGGCAAAAUGGUGCCGUAACUUCGGGAGAAGGCACGCUGGUGUGUAGGUGAAGCCCCUGCGGGUGGAGCUGAGACCAGUCGAAGAUACCAGCUGGCUGCAACUGUUUAUUAAAAACACAGCACUGUGCAAACACGAAAGUGGACGUAUACGGUGUGACGCCUGCCCGGUGCCGGAAGGUUAAUUGAUGGGGUUAUCCGUAAGGAGAAGCUCUUGAUCGAAGCCCCGGUAAACGGCGGCCGUAACUAUAACGGUCCUAAGGUAGCGAAAUUCCUUGUCGGGUAAGUUCCGACCUGCACGAAUGGCGUAAUGAUGGCCAGGCUGUCUCCACCCGAGACUCAGUGAAAUUGAACUCGCUGUGAAGAUGCAGUGUACCCGCGGCAAGACGGAAAGACCCCGUGAACCUUUACUAUAGCUUGACACUGAACAUUGAGCCUUGAUGUGUAGGAUAGGUGGGAGGCUUUGAAGCGUGGACGCCAGUCUGCGUGGAGCCAACCUUGAAAUACCACCCUUUAAUGUUUGAUGUUCUAACGUUGGCCCCUUACCGGGGUUGCGGACAGUGUCUGGUGGGUAGUUUGACUGGGGCGGUCUCCUCCCAAAGCGUAACGGAGGAGCACGAAGGUUAGCUAAUCCUGGUCGGACAUCAGGAGGUUAGUGCAAUGGCAUAAGCUAGCUUGACUGCGAGCGUGACGGCGCGAGCAGGUGCGAAAGCAGGUCAUAGUGAUCCGGUGGUUCUGAAUGGAAGGGCCAUCGCUCAACGGAUAAAAGGUACUCCGGGGAUAACAGGCUGAUACCGCCCAAGAGUUCAUAUCGACGGCGGUGUUUGGCACCUCGAUGUCGGCUCAUCACAUCCUGGGGCUGAAGUAGGUCCCAAGGGUAUGGCUGUUCGCCAUUUAAAGUGGUACGCGAGCUGGGUUUAGAACGUCGUGAGACAGUUCGGUCCCUAUCUGCCGUGGGCGCUGGAGAAUUGAGGGGGGCUGCUCCUAGUACGAGAGGACCGGAGUGGACGCAUCACUGGUGUUCGGGUUGUCAUGCCAAUGGCACUGCCCGGUAGCUAAAUGCGGAAGAGAUAAGUGCUGAAAGCAUCUAAGCACGAAACUUGCCCCGAGAUGAGUUCUCCCUGAGACUUUAAGUCUCCUGAAGGAACGUUAAAGACGAUGACGUUGAUAGGCCGGGUGUGUAAGCGCAGCGAUGCGUUGAGCUAACCGGUACUAAUGAACCGUGAGGCUUAACCUU